GGGGAAUAUUGCGCAAUGGGCGAAAGCCUGACGCAGCGACGCCGCGUGAGGGACGACGGCCUUCGGGUUGUAAACCUCUUUCAGCGCCGAAGAAGGGAAACUGACGGUAGGCGCAGAAGAAGCACCGGCUAACUACGUGCCAGCAGCCGCGGUAAUACGUAGGGUGCAAGCGUUGUCCGGAUUUAUUGGGCGUAAAGAGCUCGUAGGCGGUCUGUCGCGUCGGAUGUGAAAACCCGGGGCUCAACUCCGGGCUUGCAUUCGAUACGGGCAGACUUGAGUGUGGUAGGGGAGACUGGAACUCCUGGUGUAGCGGUGAAAUGCGCAGAUAUCAGGAAGAACACCGGUGGCGAAGGCGGGUCUCUGGGCCACCACUGACGCUGAGGAGCGAAAGCGUGGGGAGCAAAC
rnacentral:rRNA from 1 species